rnacentral:rRNA from 1 species
UGCGUAGGCGGCGCGGCAAGUUGGGUGUGAAAUACCUCGGCUUAACCGAGGAACUGCGCCCAAAACUGCCGUGCUUGAGGAAGAUAGAGGUGAGCGGAACUUAGGGUGGAGCGGUGAAAUGCGUUGAUAUCCUAAGGAACACCGGUGGCGAAAGCGGCUCACUGGAUCUUUUCUUGACGCUGAGGCACGAAAGCUAGGGGAGCGAACG